rnacentral:rRNA from 1 species
UACGUAGGGGGCAAGCGUUGUCCGGAAUCAUUGGGCGUAAAGCGCGUGUAGGCGGCUUGGUAAGUCUGCUCUGAAAGCCCGGGGCUCGACCCCGGGAGGCGGGUGGAUACUGUCAAGCUCGAGUCCGGAAGAGGAGUGUGGAAUUCCUGGUGUAGCGGUGAAAUGCGUAGAUAUCGUUUGGAACGCCAAUGGUGAAAACAGACAGCUGGGAGUGUGCUGACGCUGAGACACGAAAGCCAGGGGAGCGAACGGG